GGAUCCAGACUUUGAUUCUGGCUCAGGAUGAACGCCGGCGGCGUGCCUAAUACAUGCAAGUCGAACGAAUCUCUUUUAGAGAUGAGUGGCGAACGGGUGAGUAAUACAUAGGUAACCUGCCCCUGUGCGGGGGAUAACAGGAGGAAACUCCUGCUAAUACCGCAUAGCCAUGAGCACCGCAUGGAGCUCAUGCCAAAUAUCCUUUCGGGGAUAGCGCAGGGAUGGACCUAUGGCGCAUUAGCUUGUUGGCGGGGCAACGGCCCACCAAGGCAACGAUGCGUAGCCGGCCUGAGAGGGCGGACGGCCACAUUGGGACUGAGACACGGCCCAGACUCCUACGGGAGGCAGCAGUAGGGAAUUUUCGGCAAUGGGGGAAACCCUGACCGAGCAACGCCGCGUGAGCGAAGAAGGCCUUCGGGUCGUAAAGCUCUGUUGUAAAGGAAGAACGGCGCAUACAGGAAAUGGUAUGCGAGUGACGGUACUUUACCAGAAAGCCACGGCUAACUACGUGCCAGCAGCCGCGGUAAUACGUAGGUGGCGAGCGUUAUCCGGAAUCAUUGGGCGUAAAGAGGGAGCAGGCGGCCGCAAGGGUCUGUGGUGACAGACCGAAGCUAAACUUCGGUAAGCCAUGGAAACCGGGCGGCUAGAGUGCGGAAGAGGAUCGUGGAAUUCCAUGUGUAGCGGUGAAAUGCGUAGAUAUAUGGAGGAACACCAGUGGCGAAGGCGACGGUCUGGGCCGCAACUGACGCUCAUUCCCGAAAGCGUGGGGAGCAAAUAGGAUUAGAUACCCUAGUAGUCCACGCCGUAAACGAUGGUCACUAAGUGUCGGGGGUCAAACCCCGGUGCUGCAGUCAACGCAAUAAGUGACCCGCCUGAGUAGUACG
rnacentral:rRNA from 1 species